rnacentral:rRNA from 1 species
UACGGGGGGGGGCAAGCGUUGUUCGGAAUUACUGGGCGUAAAGGGCUCGUAGGCGGCCAACUAAGUCAGACGUGAAAUCCCCAGGCUCAACCUGGGAACUGCGUCUGAUACUGGAUGGCUUGAAUCCGGGAGAGGGAUGCAGAAUUCCAGGUGUAGCGGUGAAAUGCGUAGAUAUCUGGAGGAAUACCGGUGGCGAAGGCGCAUCCUGGACCGGCAUUGACGCUGAGGAGCGAAAGCCAGGGGAGCAAACGGG